GAUGAACGCUAGCGGCAGGCUUAAUACAUGCAAGUCGAGGGGCAGCAUGAGUAGCAAUACUUGAUGGCGACCGGCAAACGGGUGCGGAACACGUACACAACCUUCCUUUCAGCGGGGAAUAGCCCAGAGAAAUUUGGAUUAAUACCCCAUAGAAUAUUGAAGAGGCAUCUCUUUAUUAUUAAAGAUUUAUCACUGAAAGAUGGGUGUGCGGCUGAUUAGAUAGUUGGCGGGGUAACGGCCCACCAAGUCUACGAUCAGUAGCUGAUGUGAGAGCAUGAUCAGCCACACGGGCACUGAGACACGGGCCCGACUCCUACGGGAGGCAGCAGUAAGGAAUAUUGGUCAAUGGACGAAAGUCUGAACCAGCCAUGCCGCGUGAAGGAUGAAGGUCCUCUGGAUUGUAAACUUCUUUUAUAUGGGACGAAAAAAGGUCAUUCUUGAUCACUUGACGGUACCAUUUGAAUAAGCACCGGCUAACUCCGUGCCAGCAGCCGCUGUAAGAC
rnacentral:rRNA from 1 species